CCCUUAGAUGAUUUGGGCUGCACGCGCGCUACACUGAUGCAUUCAACGAGCCUAUCCUUGACCGACAGGUCCGGGUAAUCUUUGAAUCUGCAUCGUGACGGGGAUAGAUUAUUGCAAUUAUUAAUCUUCAACGAGGAAUGCCUAGUAGGCGCAAGUCAUCAGCUUGCGUCGAUUACGUCCCUGCCCUUUGUACACACCGCCCGUCGCUCCUACCGAUUGGGUGUGCUGGUGAAAUGUUCGGAUCGGCCGUUUGUCGCGGUUUCCGCGUCAUGUGGCUGAGAAGUUCAUUAAACCCUCCCACCUAGAGGAAGGAGAAGUCGUAACA
rnacentral:rRNA from 1 species